rnacentral:lncRNA from 1 species
CGACGCGUUUCGGAUGGAUUUGAAGAUGAUUGAACCGUGGAACCCCCUGAACCACUUUGCACCGCAUCUCGGUAUGUCACCCUCCUCUCAGUGCUCGGAUGUCACACAUCGACCAACCGCCGACACAACCACAUCCAGGUGUCGGCCGAGCUCAGCCGGUCAUCAAGUGUGACCACUGUCCGCAGUUGGUGUUGCGUCGAGUUCCGAGCAUGCCGAAACAUUCUGGAUUGGUGUUCCUCAAGUGCGAAAAGACCUGGUGAGUGGCUAUUUUUUACGGUUGUUUUUUGGACUCCUCGCAAUUGGAACUUAUUGUUUGCUCUAAAUUGUAUGUAGGAAGAAUGCAAAUUUUGGUAUUGAAAAGAAAAGUACAUUGAUAUAUUGUUAGAGUGAAAACUGCUAGAUGUUUGUGCACUACUUGCUACAGUUAAGACUAGAGAGGAUGCAAUGUUCAAUUGUGUGGAGGUGAAGAAGAACAAAGUGUGGAAGCUCAGGAAGUGAAUAGAGAGAGUAUUAAUUGCUAGUGGGAGAUGUUAGGGCACUUGGGUUUCUAUUAAAGUGUUUAAGUCUUGUUGAUUUCUCUUUGGGUCAGUUUUAUUAGCGAAAAAUUG